GAAAUGCGAUAAGUAAUGUGAAUUGCAGAAUUCCGUGAAUCAUUAAAUCUUUGAACGCACAUUGCGCUGGUUGGUAUUCCGACCAGCAUGUCUGUUUGAGAAUCAGUUUAAUCAUCAAACCUUUCUUGGUGUUGUAAUGACGCUUAAGAGUAUGGGUUUGGAUUUGGGUUUCUAUUGCUUAUUUAAAAGCGAUUUACCUUUAUAAUAUUUGUUGCUUUGAAGUUCUAUGAAUUUUAAACUAGAAGGCAUGACCAAUGAACGCAAGUUCUAAGAUUGCUGAUAAAGGUUUCCUAUUUGCUAGACUUUGUUAAGAAGUAAACGUUAAAAAUUUAAACACGAAAUCUAUCUUUUGAUAGGUUUUAAGACUUGAUCUCAAAUCAGACAAGACUACCCGCUGAAC
rnacentral:misc_RNA from 1 species